UGCUCAAUGAUUUUUUAAAUUGCUGUAGUAUUUUGACUAUACAAAGGUAUUGAAAUAAGAUUUUAAUUGAAUGCUAAGAGAAUGGAAUUUCAGAAAAAAACUUUUUUCAAGUUAAAAAUUGAAAUUUUUUUAAUUUGUGCAGAAACAAUUAUUAAUAUUAAGGACAAGAAGACCCUAUGAAUUUAUAAAUUUUAUUUAAUAUGUAACUACUAUUAAAAAAAUUUUAGCUGGGGCGGCGGAAAAAUAUUUAAAACUUUUUUAAAAUAAAAUGACCCAUUAUUAAUGAUUAUAUGUUAAAUACUCUAGGGAUAACAGCGUUAUAUUUUUUGAUAGAUCAUAUUGACAAAAAAGUUUGCGACCUCGAUGUUGGAUUAGGAUACUUUUUUAAUGCAGAUAUUAAAAAAAGAAGUUUGUUCAACUUUUAAUUUCCUACUUGAUCUGAGUUCAGACCGGA
rnacentral:rRNA from 1 species